UCUUGACUUGUAGUUUUUUGUCGAGCCUGCGACUUUUGUCGCAGAAAGCUCGACAUAGGGAUAGUGAUCCGGCGGCGGCAUUAGCUAACUUUUUAAAAGCUUUAUAUUUUAGAAGGUGGAGGACCUGGAUGCUUCAUACUUUGUAUAUAGAUGCCUCAUGUUACGAAGUUUCCGUCAGUCACAUGUCCAAUAUCCUUGAACUCAUUUUCAUGGUUCAGUGACUACUUGAAAAAAAAGUUGAGAUUUUUUGUAAUGUUAAAUUCUCUCUUAUUAUAAGUAAUAGGAUAACUAUAUUUGGUAUGUGCGUACCUUACAAGGUCCUCAUGCCUGUCAGACAGUUUUCACUUGACCUCGACCUCAUUUCAUGGAUCAGUGAACAAGGUUAAGUUUUGGUGGUCAAGUCCAUAUCUCAGAUACUAUAAGCAAUAGGUCUAGUAUAUUCGGUGUAUGGAAGGACUGUAAGGUGUACAUGUCCAACUGGCAGGUGUCAUCUGACCUUGACCUCAUUUUCAUGGUUCAGUGGUUAUAGUUAAGUUUUUGUGUUUUGGUCUAUUUUUCUUAUACUGUAUGCAAUAGGUCUACUAUAUUUGGUGUAUGGAAUGAUUGUAAGGUGUACGUGUCUAGCUGGCAGGUGUCAUCUGACCUUGACCUCAUUUUCAUGGUUCAGUGGUUAUAGUUAAAUUUUUGUGUUUUGGUCUGUUUUUCUUAUACUGUAUGCCAUAGGUCUACUAUAUUUGGUGUAUGGAAUGAUUGUAAGGUGUACAUGUCUAGCGGGCAGGUGUCAUCUGACCUUGACCUCAUUUUCAUGGUUCAGUGGUCAAAGUUAAGUUUUUGAGUUUUGGUCUUUUUUUCUAAUACUAUGUGCAAUAGUUCAACUAUAUUUGGUAUGUGCGUACCUUGCAAGGUCCUCAUGCCCGUCAGACAGUUUUCACUUGACCUCGACCUCAUUUCAUGGAUCAGUGAACAAGGUUAAGUUUUGGUGGUCAAGUCCAUAUCUCAGAUACUAUAAGCAAUAGGUCUAGUAUAUUCGGUGUAUGGAAGGACUGUAAGGUGUACAUGUCCAACUGGCAGGUGUCAUCUGACCUUGACCUCAUUUUCAUGGUUCAGUGGUUAUAGUUAAAUUUUUGUGUUUUGGUCUGUUUUUCUUAUACUGUAUGCCAUAGGUCUACUAUAUUUGGUGUAUGGAAUGAUUGUAAGGUGUACAUGUCUAGCGGGCAGGUGUCAUCUGACCUUGACCUCAUUUUCAUGGUUCAGUGGUCAAAGUUAAGUUUUUGAGUUUUGGUCUUUUUUUCUAAUACUAUGUGCAAUAGUUCAACUAUAUUUGGUAUGUGCGUACCUUGCAAGGUCCUCAUGCCCGUCAGACAGUUUUCACUUGACCUCGACCUCAUUUCAUGGAUCAGUGAACAAGGUUAAGUUUUGGUGGUCAAGUCCAUAUCUCAGAUACUAUAAGCAAUAGGUCUAGUAUAUUCGGUGUAAGGAAGGACUGUAAGGUGUACAUGUCCAACUGGCAGGUGUCAUCUGACCUUGACCUCAUUUUCAUGGUUCAGUGGUUAUAGUUAAGUUUUUGUGUUUUGGUCUGUUUUUCUUAUACUAUAUGCAAUAGUUCAACUAUAUUUGGUGUAUGGAAAUAUUUUAUGAUCUAUUUGGCAGUCACGCAGGUUUUAUUUGACCUUGACCUCAUUUUCAAGGUUCAUUGCUCAGUGUUAAGUUUUUGUGUUUUGGUCUGUUUUUCUUAAACUAUAAGCAAUAGGUCAACUCUAUUUGUUGUAUGGAAGAAUUGUUAGCUGUACAUGCCUGCCUAGCAUGGUUCAUCUGACCUUGACCUCAUUUUCAUGGUUCAUUGGUCAAUGUUUAGUUUACUUGGUUAAUGUUAAGUUUAUGUGACAGUUGUAAUAAAGCUUUAUAUUUAGGACUAUCAACAUAAUAUCAAUGAUUAGUAAAGAAGGCGAGACAUUUCAGCGUGUGCACUCUUGUUGGUUAAUGUUAAGUUUAUGUGACAGUUGUAAUAAAGCUUUAUAUUUAGGACUAUCAACAUAAUAUCAAUGAUUAAUAAAGAAGACGAGACAUUUCA